rnacentral:rRNA from 1 species
AGCGAACGCUGGCGGCAGGCCUAACACAUGCAAGUCGAGCGCCGUAGCAAUACGGAGCGGCAGACGGGAGAGUAACACGUGGGAACAUACCCUUCAGUACGGAACAACCAAGGGAAACUUUGGCUAAUACCGUAUACGUCCGUAAGGAGAAAGAUUUAUCGCUGAAGGAUCGGCCCGCGUCUGAUUAGCUAGUUGGUGAGGUAACGGCUCACCAAGGCGACGAUCAGUAGCUGGUCUGAGAGGAUGAUCAGCCUCACUGGGACUGAGACACGGCCCAGACUCCUACGGGAGGCAGCAGUGGGGAAUAUUGGACAAUGGGCGCAAGCCUGAUCCAGCCAUGCCGCGUGGGUGAUGAAGGCCCUAGGGUUGUAAAGCCCUUUCGGCGGGGAAGAUAAUGACGGUACCCGCAGAAGAAGCCCCGGCUAACUUCGUGCCAGCCGCCGCCGUAAGAC